ACGAAGGGUCCAAGCGUUGCUCGGAAUCACUGGGCGUAAAGCGCGCGUAGGCGGUAUGGAAAGUUAGACGUGAAAGCCCCGGGCUCAACCUGGGAAUUGCGUUUAAAACUUCCAUACUAGAGUGUAAGAGGGGAUAGUGGAAUUUCCAGUGUAGAGGUGGAAUUCGUAGAUAUUGGAAGGAACACCAGAGGCGAAGGCGACUAUCUGGCUUACAACUGACGCUGAGGUGCGAAAGCGUGGGUAGCAAACAG
rnacentral:rRNA from 1 species